rnacentral:rRNA from 1 species
AUUGAACGCUGGCGGCAGGCCUAACACAUGCAAGUCGAGCGGAUGAAGGGAGCUUGCUCCUGGAUUCAGCGGCGGACGGGUGAGUAAUGCCUAGGAAUCUGCCUGGUAGUGGGGGAUAACGUCCGGAAACGGGCGCUAAUACCGCAUACGUCCUGAGGGAGAAAGUGGGGGAUCUUCGGACCUCACGCUAUCAGAUGAGCCUAGGUCGGAUUAGCUAGUUGGUGGGGUAAAGGCCUACCAAGGCGACGAUCCGUAACUGGUCUGAGAGGAUGAUCAGUCACACUGGAACUGAGACACGGUCCAGACUCCUACGGGAGGCAGCAGUGGGGAAUAUUGGACAAUGGGCGAAAGCCUGAUCCAGCCAUGCCGCGUGUGUGAAGAAGGUUUUCGGAUUGUAAAGCUCUUUAAGUUGGGAGGAAGGGCAGUAAGUUAAUACCUUGCUGUUUUGACGUUACCAACAGAAUAAGCACCGGCUAACUUCGUG